rnacentral:rRNA from 1 species
GACGAACGCUGGCGGCGUGCUUAACACAUGCAAGUCGAACGGAAAGGCCCUGCUUUUGUGGGGUGCUCGAGUGGCGAACGGGUGAGUAACACGUGAGUAACCUGCCCUUGACUUUGGGAUAACUUCAGGAAACUGGGGCUAAUACCGGAUAGGAGCUCCUGCUGCAUGGUGGGGGUUGGAAAGUUUCGGCGGUUGGGGAUGGACUCGCGGCUUAUCAGCUUGUUGGUGGGGUAGUGGCUUACCAAGGCUUUGACGGGUAGCCGGCCUGAGAGGGUGACCGGCCACAUUGGGACUGAGAUACGGACCAGACUCCUACGGGAGGCAGCAGUGGGGAAUAUGGCACAAUGGGAGGAAGCCUGAUGCAGCAACGCCGCGUGCGGGAUGACGGCCUUCGGGUUGUAAACCGCUUUCGCCUGUGACGAAGCGUGAGUGACGGUAAUGGGUAAAGAAGCACCGGCUAACUACGUG